GGGACUUGCAAACUUCAACACAAGUAUUUCUCAAAUUCACAACUACUCAACUAGCACAACUUUAAUAUCACUACCUCCAUGUCUCAAAAUAAUCAUCAAGCAUCAAACUUCUCUUAGUAUUCAAAACAAUCAUAAGAAAGUUUUUACUAAUCUUGAAUACCUAGCAUAUUAGGAUUAUUUAAGCAAAUUACCAUGCUAUUUAAGACUCUCAAAAUAAUCUAAGUGAAGCAUUAGAGAUCAAUAGUUUCUAUAAAACAAAUCCAUCACAGUGCUCUAAAAGAUAUAAGUGAAGUACUAGAGCAAAAACUAUAUAACUCAAAAGAUAUAAGUGAAGCACAUAGAGUAUUCUAAUAAUUUCCGAAUCAUGUGUGUCUCUCUCAAAAGGUGUGUACAACAAAGAUGAUUGUGGUAAACUAAAAAAAAUAAAGACUCAAAUAAUACAAGACGCUCCAAGCAAAACACAUAUCAUGUGGUGAAUAAAAAUAUAGCUCCAAGUAAAGUUACCGAUGUAAGUAGACGAAAGAGGGGAUGCCUUCCGGGGCAUCCCCAAGCUUUGGCUUUUAGGUGUCCUUAGAUUAUCUUGGGGGUGCCAUGGGCAUCCCCAAGAUUAGGCUCGUGCCACUCCUUGUUCUAUAAUCCAUCAAAUCUUUCACCCAAAACUUCAAAACUUCACAACACAAAACUCAGCAGAAAAUCUCGUGAGCUCCGUUAGCGAAAGAAAACAAAAGACCACUUCAAGGUACUGUAAUGAACUCAUUCUUUAUUUAUAUUGGUGUUAAACCUACUGUAUUCCAACUUAUCUAUGGUUUAUAAACUAUUUUACUAGCCAUAGAUUCAUCAAAAUAAGCAAACAACACACGAAAAACAGAAUCUGUCAAAAACAGAACAGUCUGUAGUAAUCUGUAACUAACGCAAACUUCUGGAACUCCAAAACAUCAGCCAACAUAGGACGACCUAGAAAAUUUGUUUAUUGAUCAGCAGCAAUUGGAAUCAAUAUUUUAUAACGUUCUGGUGAUUUUUAACAAUUAUUUUCGUGAACAGAAAGUUUCUGGAAUUUUCUGCAAGAUCAAAUAACUAUCAUCCAAGAAGAUCCUAUAGGUUUAACUUGGCACAAACACUAAUUAAAACAUAAAAACACCUCUAACCAGAGGCUAGAACAAAUAUUUAUUCCUAAGCAGAAGCAAAAAGCAAAAACUAAAAAUAAAAUUGGGUUGGUUCCCAACAAGCGCUAUCGUUUAACGCCCCUAGCUAGUCAUAAAAGCAAUGAUAGAUCUAGGUAGUGCCAUGGUAAUAGGAUAGAUCAUUAAAACUCAUUUCAUAUUCUCUACGUUCAGCAGCAAGUUUCCUUUGAGGCAAGCAAAAGUAAUCAAAAGGGCUAAAUUUAAUGGGACAAAAGUCCCCAAGAUCAAUUUUAGGAGGUAUAGGUUCCUCCUUCGGCCCUUCGUAUUGCACAACCAAUUCAUCAUUAUAAGCAUUCUUUUGACAGAACUUUGUGAGCCUAUACUCGAGAGAAUAUCCUAGCUCAUUAUUUCGAAUAGCCAAAUCAUCAUUAAGUUCAGAAAUUCUAUCAACUAGAACAUUGGUAGGGACCUUUUUUCUAAGGUUUUCAUUGAAAGCAACAUAGUCUAGAGAUUGAAAACGCAUUAUUUCUUCUUGAUCAAAGAGGAUAGCCUCUAUGGGAGGACGGCCAGCGUCCACCCUAUAAUGCGCAAAGAUUUCUUUGGCCUCUUUUAUUAUAAAUCUGAACUCAUGAGCCAAAAAGAUAGUAGCGGCACGCUUAACAGAAGAAUGCUCUAUAUUAGAAAAUUCUAGGAAAAUCCUUUGUAUGCAAGGGUGCAUGUGCAUAAAUUGCCUUUCAAGUUCAACUAUAAGCAUGGCAAUAGCGUCCGCAAGACUACUAGUUCUAUGAAGAAUAGAACUGCCCAUAGAAGGCAAAGCACCGGCACAAGUAAAGAAAUCUUGAAUAACCCCUUUUCCAAUAAUAUUACCACUACCAAUUCGAAUUUUUUUUGUAUGCAAGGUAGGGGGUUCUUCAGCAGGAGCAUCAGAAUUUUCCAUGAUAUUAUUAUUGUCCAUAUCGACAAUAAUUUCCCAAAUUUCAGACAUAACGGCAGAAAGAGCGAGGGGAAACAGGAAAGAAGAAGGCGGACGGAAAAGAGAGGGCGAAUAAAACGGCAAGGGUGAAGUGGGGGAGAGGAAAACGAGAGGCAAAUGGCAAAUAAUGUAAUGCGGGAGAUAAGGGUUUGUGAUGGGUACUUGGUAUGUUGACUUUUGCGUAGGCCUCCCCGGCAACGGCGCCAGAAAUCCUUCUUGCUACCUCUUGAGCACUGCGUUGGUUUUCCCUUGAAGAGGAAAGGGUGAUGCAGUAAAGCAGCGUAAGUAUUUCCCUCAGUUUUUGAGAACCAAGGUAUCAAUCCAGUAGGAGGCCACGCACGAGUCCCUCGCACCUACACAAAUAAAUAAAUCCUCGCAACCAACGCAAUAAAGGGGUUGUCAAUCCCUUCACGGUCACUUACGAGAGUGAGAUCUGAUAGAUAUGAUAAGAUAAUAUUUUUGGUAUUUUUAUGAUAAAGAUGCAAAGUAAAAUAAAAGGCAAUAAAAAUAGCUAAGUGUUGGAAGAUUAAUAUGAUGGAAGAUAGACCCGGGGGCCAUAGGUUUCACUAGUGGCUUCUCUCGAGAGCAUAAGUAUUACGGUGGGUGAACAAAUUACUGUUGAGAAAUUGACAUAAUUGAGCAUAGUUAUGAGAAUAUCUAGGUAUGAUCAUGUAUAUAGGCAUCACGUCCGAGACAAGUAGACCGACUCCUGCCUGCAUCUACUACUAUUACUCCACACAUCGACCGCUAUCCAGUAUGCAUCUAGAGUAUUAAGUUCAUAGAACAGAGUAAUUCUUUAAGCAAGAUGACAUGAUGUAGAGGGAUAAACUCAUGCAAUAUGAUAUAAACCCCAUCUUGUUAUCCUCGAUGGCAACAAUACUAUACGUGCCUUGCUGCCCCUACUGUCACUGGGAAAGGACACCGCAAGAUUGAACCCAAAGCUAAGCACUUCUCCCAUUGCAAGAAAGAUCAAUCUAGUAGGCCAAACAAAACUGAUAAUUCGAAGAGACUUGCAAAGAUAACCAAUCAUACAUAAAAGAAUUCAGAAGAUUCAAAUAUUGUUCAUAGAUAAACUUGAUCAUAAACCCACAAUUCAUCAGUCUCAACAAACACACCGCAAAAGAAGAUUACACCGAAUAGAUCUCCACAAGAGAGGGGGAGAACAUUGUAUUGAGAUACAAAAAGAGAGAGGAAGCCAUCUAGCUAAUAACUAUGGACCCGAAGGUCUGAGGUAAACUACUCACACAUCAUCGGAGAGGCUAUGGUGAUGAUGUAGAAGCCCUCCGUGAUGGAUGCCCCCUCCGGCGGAGCUCCAGAACAGGCCCCAAGAUGGGAUCUCGUGGGUACAAAAGGUUGCGGCGGUGGAAUUAGGUUUUUGGCUCCAUAUCUGAUCGUUUGGGGGUAUGUAGGUAUAUAUAGGAGGAAGGAGUACGUCGAUGGAGCAACAGGGGGCCCACGAGGGUGGAGGGCGCGCCCUGGGGAGGUGGGCGUGCCCCCUACCUCGUGGCCUCCUCUUUUGUUUCUUGACGUAGGGUCCAAGUCCUCUGGAUCAUGUUCGUUCCGAAAAUCACGUUCCCAAAGGUUUCAUUCCGUUUGGACUCCGUUUGAUAUUCUUUUUCUGCGAAACUCUGAAAUAGGCAAAAAAAAUAGCAAUUCUAGGCUGGGCCUCCGGUUAAUAGGUUAGUCCCAAAAAUAAUAUAAAAGUGUAUAAUAAAGCCCAAUAAUGUCCAAAACAGAUUAUAAUAUAGCAUGGAGCAAUCAAAAAUUAUAGAUACGUUGGAGACGUAUCAUUGGGAACAACUAACUUCUGAUCCUAUUUCUUUCAAGUAUCGUAUCAGCUAUUUCUUUUCUUUCCCUUCCUAUUUCUUUUAGUUUGUGUCCUGUCCGGUAUUGGGCUGCCCGUCACUGUAGUGUUCGACGCGAUAGAUUGUUGGGAGCAACUAACGAACGAGUACUCCUUCGCAAGCCCUGCAAUUGACACCUGGGGUGGGCUGAGAGCGCGUCACUUCUUGUCCGCUAUUUCUUUUCUUUCUCUUCCUAUUUCUUUUAAGUGUCCCGUCCGCUAUUGGGCUGGCCUGUUAUUGUAGCGUUCGACGCGAGUGAUCGUUGGGAGCAACUGAAGGAAAUAUGCCCUAGAGGCAAUAAUAAAGUUGUUAUUUAUAUUUCCUUAUAUCAUGAUAAAUGUUUAUUAUUCAUGCUAGAAUUGUAUUAACCGGAAACUUAGUACAUGUGUGAAUACAUAGACAAAACAGAGUGUCCCUAGUAUGCCUCUACUUGACUAGCUCGUUAAUCAAAGAUGGUUAAGUUUCCAGACCAUAGACAUGUGUUGUCAUUUGAUGAACGGGAUCACAUCAUUAGAGAAUGAUGUGAUGGACAAGACCCAUCCGUUAGCUUAGGAUAAUGAUCGUUUAGUUUUAUUGCUAUUGCUUUCUUCAUGACUUAUACAUGUUCCUUUGACUAUAAGAUUAUGCAACUCCCGAAUACCGGAGGAACACCUUGUGUGCUAUCAAACGUCACAACAUAAUUGGGUGAUUAUAAAGAUGCUCUACAGGUGUCUCGGAAGGUGUUUGUUGGGUUGGCAUAGAUCAAGAUUAAGAUUUGUCACUCCGUGUAUCGGAGAGGUAUCUCUGGGCCCUCUCGGUAAUGCACAUCACUAUAAGCCUUGCAAGCAAUGUGACUAAUGAGUUAGUUGCGGGAUGAUGCAUUACGGAACGAUUAAAGAGACUUGCCGGUAACGAGAUUGAACUAGGUAUGAUGAUACCGACGAUCGAAUCUCGGGCAAGUAACAUACCGAUGACAAAGGGAAUGACGUAUAUUGUUAUGCGGUUUGACCAAUAAAGAUCUUCGUAGAAUAUGUAGGAGCCAAUAUGAGCAUCGAGGUUCCGCUAUUGGUUAUUGACCGGAGAUGUGUCUCGGUCAUGUCUACAUAGUUCUCGAACCCGUAGGGUCCGCAUGCUUAACGCUCGAUGACGAUUUGUAUUAUGAGUUAUGUGUUUUGGUGACCGAAGUUUGUUCGGAGUCCCGGAUGAGACCACAGACAUGACGAGGAGUCUCGAAAUGGUCGAGAGGUAAAGAUUGAUAUAUUGGAAGGUUAUAUGGACACCGAAAUGGUUCUGAAGAAGAUCAGGGAUUUUUCGGAGUAACGGGAGGUUACCGGAACCCCCCGGGAAAGUUAAUGGGCCUCAUGGGCCAUAGUGGAGAGGAGGAGUCAACCACAGGAGGUGGCGCAUGCUCCCCCAAGCCCAAUCCGAAUUGGACAAGGGGUGGGGGCGCGGCCCCCUUGUCCUCUCCCUCUCCACCUCUUCCCCCUUUCCCCCUCCGUUGGAAGGAAGGAGGGGGGGGGCGAAUCCUACUUGGACUGGGAGUCCAAGUAGGACUCCCCCUUGGCGCGCCCCUCCUUGGCCGCCGGUGUUGGGGAACGUAGUAAUUUCAAAAAAAAUCCUACGCACACACAGGAUCAUGGUGAUGCAUAGCAACGAGAGGGGAGAGUGUGUCCACGUACCCUCGUAGACCGAGAGCGGAAGCGUUAGCACAACACGGUUGAUGUAGUCGUACGUCUUCACGAUCCGACCGAUCCAAGUACCGAACGCACGUCACCUCUGAGUUCAACACACAUUCAGCUCGAUGACGUCCCGCGAGCUCCGAAUCCAGCAAAGCUUCGCCGGAGAGUUUCGUCAGCACGACGGCGUGAUGACGGUGAUGAUGAUGCUACCAACGGAGGGCUUCGCCUAAGCACCGCUAUGAUAUGAUCGAGGUGGAUUAUGGUGGAGGGAGGCACCGCACAUGGCUGGGAGAGAUCAACAUAUCAACUUGUGUGUCUAGAGGUGCCCCCCUGCCCCUGUAUAUGAAGGAGCAAGGGGGAGGCCGGCCGGCCCCUGUAGGGCGCGCCAGGAGGAGGAGUCCUCCUCCUAGUAGGAGUAGGACUCCCCUCUUUCCUACUCCUACUAGGAGGGGGAAAGGAAGGGGGAGAGGGAGAUGAAAAGGGGGGCGCCGCCCCCCUCUCCUAGUCCAAUUCGGACCAGAGGGGGAGGGGCGCGCGACCUGCCCUAGNNNNNNNNNNNNNNNNNNNNNNNNNNNNNNNNNNNNNNNNNNNNNNNNNNNNNNNNNNNNNNNNNNNNNNNNNNNNNNNNNNNNNNNNNNNNNNNNNNNNNNNNNNNNNNNNNNNNNNNNNNNNNNNNNNNNNNNNNNNNNNNNNNNNNNNNNNNNNNNNNNNNNNNNNNNNNNNNNNNNNNNNNNNNNNNNNNNNNNNNNNNNNNNNNNNNNNNCUCUCCACUAAGGCCCAUAAGGCCCACUAUUUCUCUCGGGGGGGGGGGGUUCCGGCACUCCGGUUUUCUCCGAAACCACCCGGAACACUUCCGGUGUCCGAAUAUAGUCGUCCAAUAUAUUGAUCUUUAUGUCUCAACCAUUUCGAGACUCCUCGUCAUGUCCGUGAUCAUAUCCGGUACUCCGAACUACCUUAGGUACAUCAAAAUACAAAAACUCAUAAUACCGAUCGUCACCGAACUUUAAGCGUGACACGUCUCCGGCCAAUAACCAAUAGCGGAACCUGGAUGCUCAUAUUAGCUCCCACAUAUUCUAUGAAGAUCUUUAUCGGUCAAACCGCAUAACAACAUACGUUGUUCCCUUUGUAAUCGGUAUGUUACCUGCCCGAGAUUCGAUCGUCAGUAUCUCAAUACCUAGCUCAAUGUUGUUACCGGCAAGUCUCUUUACUCGUUACGUAAUGCAUCAUCCCGCAACUAACUCAUUAGUCACAUUGCUUGCAAGGCUUAUUGUGAUGUGCAUUACAGAGAGGGCCCAGAGAUACCUCUCUGACAAUCGGAGUGACAAAUCCUAAUCUCGAUCUAUGCCAACUCAACAAGUACCAUCAGAGACACCUGUAGAGCACCUUUAUAAUCACCCAGUUACGUUGUGAUGUUUGGUAGCACACAAAGUGUUCCUCCGGUAAUCGGGAGUUGCAUAAUCUCAUAGUCAUAGGAACAUGGAUAAGUCAUGAAGAAAGCAAUAGCAGUAAACUAAACGAUCAAGUGCUAAGCUAAUAGAAUGGGUCAAGUCAAUCACAUCAUUCUCCUAAUGAUGUGAUCCCGUUAAUCAAAUGACAACUCAUGUCUAUGGUUUAGGAAACUCAACCAUCUUUGAUUAAGGAGCUAGUCAAGUAGAGGCAUACUAGUGACACUAUGUUUGUCUAUGUAUUCACACAUGUAUUAUUUUUCCCGGUUAAUACAAUUCUAGCAUGAAUAAUAAACAUUUAUCAUGAUAUGAGGAAAUAAAUAAUACCUUUACUAUUGCCUCUAGGGCAUAUUUCCUUCAGUCUCCCACUUGCACUAGAGUUAGUAAUCUAGAUUACACAGUAAUGAUUCUAACACCCAUGGAGUUUUGGUGCUGAUCAUGUUUUGCUCGUGGAAGAGUCUUUGUCAACGGGUCUGCAACAUUCAGAUCCGUAUGUAUCCUGCAAAUCUCUAUGUCUCCCACCUGGACUUGAUCCCGGAUGGAAUUGAAGCGUCUCUUGAUGUGCUUGGUUCUCUUGUGAAAUCUGGAUUCCUUUGCCAAGGCAAUUGCACUAGUAUUGUCACAAAUGAUUUUCAUUGGUCCCGAUGCACUAGGUAUGACACCUAGAUCGGAUAUGAACUCCUUCAUCCAGACUCCUUCAUUUGCUGCUUCCGAAGCAGCUAUGUAUUCCGCUUCACACGUAGAUCCCGCCACGACGCUUUGUUUAGAACUGCACCAACUGACAGCUCCACCGUUCAAUGUAAUCCGGUUUGCGAUUUAGAAUCGUCCAGAUCAGUGUCAAAGCUUGCAUCAAUGUAACCAUUUACGACUAGCUCUUUGUCACCUCCAUAAACGAGAAACAUAUCCUUGGUCCUUUUCAGGUAUUUCAGGAUGUUCUUGACCGCUGUCCAGUGAUCCACUCUUGGAUUACUUUGGUACCUCCCUGCUAAGCUAAUAGCAAGGCACACAUCAGGUUUGGUACACACCAUUGCAUACAUCAUAGAGCCUAUGGCUGAAGCAUAGGGAACAUCUUUCAUUUUCUCUCUAUCUUCUGCAGUGGUCGGGCAUUGAGUCUGACUCAAUUUCACACCUUGUAACAUAGGCAAGAACCCUUUCUUUGCUUGAUCCAUUUUGAACUUUUUCAAAACUUUGUCAAGGUAUGUGCUUUGUGUAGAUCUAUCUCUAUAGAUCUUGAUGCCCAAUAUGUAAGCAACUUCACCGAGGUCUUUCAUUGAAAAACUCUUAUUCAAGUAUCCCUUUAUGCUAUCCAGAAAUUCUAUAUCAUUUCCAAUCAGCAAUAUGUCAUCCACAUAUAAUAUCAGAAAUGCUACAGAGCUCCCACUCACUUUCUUGUAAAUACAUGCUUCUCCAAAAGUAUGUAUAAUACAUAUGCUUUGAUCGCACUAUCAAAACGUUUAUUCCAACUCCGAGAGGCUUGCACCAGUCCAUAAAUGGAUCGCUAGAGCUUGCACACUUUGUUAGCUCCCUUUGGAUCUACAAAACCUUCCGGUUGCAUCAUAUACAACUCUUCUUCUAGAAAUCCAUUCAGGAAUGCAGUUUUGACAUCCAUUUGUCAAAUUUCAUAAUCAUAAAAUGCGGCAAUUGCUAACAUGAUUCGGACAGACUUAAGCAUCGCUCCGGGUGAGAAAGUCUCAUCAUAGUCAACCCCUUGAACUUGUCGAAAACCUUUUGCAACAAGUCGAGCUUUCUAGACAGUAACAUUACCGUCAGCGUCAGUCUUCUUCUUGAAGAUCCAUUUAUUCUCUAUGGCUUGCCGAUCAUCGGGCAAGUCAACUAAAGUCCACACUUUGUUCUCAUACAUGGAUCCCAUCUCAGAUUUCAUGGCCUCAAGCCAUUUUGCAAAAUCUGGGUUCACCAUCGCUUCUUCAUAGUUCGUAGGUUCGCCUUGGUCAAGCAACAUGACCUCCAGAAUAGGAUUACCAUACCACUCUGGUGCGGAUCUUACUCUGGUUGACCUACGAGGUUUGGUAGUAACUUGAUCUGAAGUUACAUGAUCAUCAUCAUUAGCUUCCUCACUAAUUGGUGUAGGAGUCACAGGAACAGAUUUCUAUGAUGAACUACUUUCCAAUAAGGGAGCAGGUACAAUUACCUCAUCAAGUUCUACUUUCCUCCCACUCACUUCUUUUGAGAGAAACUCCUUCUCUAGAAAUGAUCCAUUCUUAGCAACAAAUGUCUUGCCUUUGGAUCUGUGAUAGAAGGUGUACCCAAUAGUUUCCUUUGGGUAUCCUAUGAAGACACAUUUCUCCGAUUUGGGUUCGAGCUUAUCAGGUUGAAGCUUUUUCACAUAAGCAUCGCAGCCCCAAACUUUAAGAAACGACAACUUUGGUUUCUUGCCAAACCAUAGUUCAUAAGGCGUCGUCUCAACGGGUUUCAAUGGUGCCCUAUUUAACGUGAAUGGAGCCGUCUCUAAAGCAUAACCCCAAAACGGUAGUGGUAAAUCAGUAAGAGACAUCAUAGAUCGCACCAUAUCCAGUAAAGUACGAUUACGAUGUUCGGACACACCAUUACGUUGUGGUGUUCCGGGUGGCAUGAGUUGCGAAACUAUUCCGCAUUGUUUCAAAUGUAGACCAAACUCGUAACUCAAAUAUUCUCCUCCACGAUCCGAUCAUAGAAAUUUUAUUUUCUUGUUACGAUGAUUUUCCACUUCACUCUGAAAUUCUUUGAACUUUUCAAAUGUUUCAGACUUAUGUUUCAUUAAUUAGAUAUACCCAUAUCUGCUUAAAUCAUCUGUGAAGGUGAGAAAAUAACGAUACCCGCCGCGAGCCUCAAUAUUCAUCGGACCACAUACAUCAGUAUGUAUGAUUUCCAACAAAUCUGUUGCUCGCUCCAUUGUUCCGGAGAACGGUGUUUUAGUCAUCUUGCCCAUGAGGCAUGGUUCGCAAGUACCAAGUGAUUCAUAAUCAAGUGAUUCCAAAAGUCCAUCAGUAUGGAGUUUCUUCAUGCGCUUUACACCAAUAUGACCCAAACGGCAGUGCCACAAAUAAGUUGCACUAUCAUUAUCAACUCUGCAUCUUUUGGCUUUCAACAUUAUGAAUAUGUGUAUCACUACUAUCGAGAUUCAUCACAAAUAGACCACUCUUCAAGGGUGCAUGACCAUAAAAGAUAUUACUCAUAUAAAUAGAACAACCAUUAUUCUCAGAUUUAAAUGAAUGAUCGUCUCACAUCAAACAAGAUCCAGAUAUAAUGUUCAUGCUUAACGCUGGCACCAAAUAACAAUUAUUUAGGUCUAAAACUAAUCCCGAAGGUAGAUGUAGACGUAGCAUGCCGACGGCGAUCACAUCGACUUUGGAACCAUUUCCCACGCGCACCGUCACCUCGUCCUUAGCCAGUCUUCGCUUAAUCCGUAGUCCCUGUUUCGAGUUGCAAAUAUUAGCAAUAGAACCAGUAUCAAAUACCCAGGUGCUACUACGAGCUCUAGUAAGGUACACAUCAAUAACAUGUAUAUCACAUAUACCUUUGUUCACCUUGCCAUACUUAUUAUCCGCCAAAUACUUGGGGCAGUUCCGCUUCCAGUGACCAGUCUGUUUGCAGUAGAAGCACUCAGUCUCAGGCUUAGGUCCAGACUUGGGUUUCUUCUCUUGAGCAGCAACUUGUUUGCUGUUCUUCUUGAAGUUCCCCUUCUUCUUCCCUUUACCCUUUUUCUUGAAACUGGUGGUCUUGUUGACCAUCAACACUUGAUGCUCCUUCUUGAUUUCUACCUCCGCAGCCUUUAGCAUUGCGAAGAGCUCGGGAAUUGUCUUAUCCAUCCCUUGCAUAUUAUAGUUCAUCACGAAGCUCUUGUAGCUUGGUGGCAGUGAUUGAAGAAUUCUGUCAAUGACACUAUCAUCCGGAAGAUUAACUCCCAGUUCAAUCAAGUGAUUGUUAUACCCAGACAUUUUGAGUAUAUGUUCACUGACAGAACUAUUCUCCUCCAUUUUGCAGCUGUAGAACUUAUUGGAGACUUCAUAUCUCUCAAUCCGGGCAUUUGCUUGAAAUAUUAGCUUCAACUCCUGGAACAUCUCAUAUGCUCCAUGACGUUCAAAACGUCGUUGAAGCCCCGGUUCUAAGCCGUAAAGCAUGGCACACUGAACUUUGAGUAGUCAUCAGCUUUGCUCUGCCAGACGUUCUUAACGUCGUCAGUUGCAUCUGCAGCAGGCCUGGCACCCAGCGGUGCUUCCAGGACGUAAUUCUUCUGUGCAGCAAUGAGAAUAAUCCUCAACUUUGCUUUCUCAAGGAAUGCAUUAAAAUUCAACGGGACAACAGCACGGCCAUCUUUCUACAACAACAUAGACAAGCAAAAUACUAUCAGGUACUAAGUUCAUGAUAAAUUUAAGUUCAAUUAAUCAUAUUACUUAAGUACUCCCACUUAGAUAGACAUCCAUCUAAUCAUCUAAGUGAUCACGUGAUCCAUAUCAACUAAACCAUAACCGAUCAUCACGUGAAAUGGAGUAGUUUUCAAUGGUGAACAUCACUAUGUUGAUCAUAUCUACUAUAUGAUCCACGCUCGACCUUUCGGUCUCAGUGUUCCGAGGCCAUAUCUGCAUAUGCUAGGCACGUCAAGUUUAACCCGAGUAUUCUGCGUGUGUAAAGCUGUCUUACACCGGUUGUAGAUGAACGUUGAGCUUAUCACACCCGAUCAUCACGUGGUGUCUCGGCACGACGAACUUUGGCAAUGGUGCAUACUCAGGGAGAACACUUUUACCUUGAAAUUUAGUGAGAGAUCAUCUUAUGAUGCUACCAUCAAACAAAGCAGAAUAAGAUGCAUAAAGGAUAAACAUCACAUGCAAUCAAUAUAAGUGAUAUGAUAUGGCGAUCAUCAUCUUGUGCCUUUGAUCUCCAUCUCCAAAGCACCGUCAUGAUCACCAUCGUCACCGGCGCGACACCUUGAUCACCAUCGUAGCAUCAUUGUCGUCUCGCCAACUAUUGCUUCUACGACUAUCGCUACCGCUUAGUGAUAAAGUAAAGCAAUUACAGGGCGAUUGCAUUGCAUACAAUAAAGCGACAACCAUAUGGCUCCUGCCAGUUGCCGAUAACUCCGUUAUAAAACAUGAUCAUCUCAUACAAUAAAUUUAGCAUCAUGUCUUGACCAUAUCACAUCACAACAUGCCCUGCAAAAACAAGUUAGACGUCCUCUACUUUGUUGUUGCAAGUUUUACGUGGCUGCUACGGGCUGAGCAAGAACCGUUCUUACCUACGCAUCAAAACCACAACGAUAGUUCGUCAAGUUAGUGCUGUUUUAACCUUCUCAAGGACCGGGCGUAGCCACACUCGGUUCAACUAAAGUUGGAGAAACUGACACCCGCCAGCCACCUAUGUGCAAAGCACGUCGGUAGAACCAGUCCCGCGUAAGCGUAUGCGUAAUGUCGGUCCGGGCCGCUUCAUCCAACAAUACCGCCGAACCAAAGUAUGACAUGCUGGUAAGCAGUAUGACUUGUAUCGCCCACAACUCACUUGUGUUCUACUCGUGCAUAUAACAUCUACCCAUAAACCUGGCUCUGAUACCACUGUUGGGGAACGUAGUAAUUUCAAAAAAAAUCCUAAGCACACAGAGGAUCAUGGUGAUGCAUAGCAACGAGAGGGGAGAGUGUAUCCACGUACCCUCGUAGACCGAAAGCGGAAGCGUUAGCACAACGCGGUUGAUGUAGUCGUACGUCUUCACGAUCCGACCGAUCCAAGUACCGAACGCACGGCACCUCCGAGUUUAGCACACGUUCAGCUCGAUGACGUCCCGCGAGCUCCGAAUCCAGCAAAGCUUCGCCGGAGAGUUUCGUCAGCAUGACGGCGUGAUGACGGUGAUGAUGACGCUACCGAUGCAGGGCUUCGCCUAAGCACCGCUACGAUAUGAUCGAGGUGGAUUAUGGUGGAGGGGAGCACCGCACACGGCUGGGAGAGAUCAACAGAUCAACUUGUGUGUCUAGAGGUGCCCCCUGCCCCCGUAUAUAAAGGAGCAAGGGGGAGGCCGGCCGGUCCCUGUAGGGCGCGCCAAGAGGAGGAGUCAUCCUCCUAGUAGGAGUAGGACUCCCCUCUUUCCUACUCCUACUAGGAGGGGGAAAGGAAGGGGGAGAGGGAGAAGGAAAGUGGGGCGCCGCCCCCCCUUUCCUAGUCCAAUUCGGACCAGAGGGGGAGGGGCGCGCGGCCUGCCCUAGGCCAGCUCUCUCUCUCCACUAAGGCCCAUAAGGCCCACUAUUUCUCCCGGGGGGGUUCCGGUAACCCUCCGGCACUCCGGUUUUCUCCGAAACCACCCGGAACACUUCUGGUGUCCGAAUAUAGUCGUCCAAUAUAUCAAUCUUUACGUCUCGACCAUUUUGAGACUCCUCGUCAUGUCUGUGAUCAUAUCCGGGACUCCGAACGACCUUCGGUACAUCAAAAUACAAAAACUCAUAAUACCGAUCGUCACCGAACUUUAAGCGUGCGGACCCUACGGGUUCGAGAACUAUGUAGACAUGACCGAGACACGUCUCCGGCCAAUAACCAAUAGCGGAACCUGGAUGCUCAUAUUGGCUCCCACAUAUUCUACAAAGAUCAUUAUCGGCCAAACCGCAUAACAACAUACGUUAUUCCCUUUGUCAUCAGUAUGUUACUUGCCCGAGAUUCGAUCGUCGGUAUCUCAAUACCUAGCUCAAUCUCGUUACCGGCAAGUCUCUUUACUCGUUACGUAAUGCAUCAUCCCGCAACUAACUCAUUAGUCACAUUGCUUGCAAGGCUUAUUGUGAUGUGCAUUACCGAGAGGGCCCAGAGAUACCUCUCCGAUAAUCGGAGUGACAAAUCCUAAUGUCAAUCUAUGCCAACUCAACAAGUACCAUCGGAGACACCUGUAGAGCACCUUUAUAAUCACCCAGUUACGUUGUGACGUUUGGUAGCACACAAAGUGUUCCUUCGGUAAUCGGGAGUUGCAUAAUCUCAUAGUCAUAGGAACAUGUAUAAGUCAUGAAGAAAGCAAUAGCAGUAAACUAAACGAUCAAGUGCUAAGCUAACAGAAUGGGUCAAGUCAAUCACAUCAUUCUCCUAAUGAUGUGAUCCCGUUAAUCAAAUGACAACUCAUGUCUAUGGUUUAGGAAACUCAACCAUCUUUGAUUAACGAGCUAGUCUAGAGGCAUACUAGUGACACUAUGUUUGUCUAUGUAUUCACACAUGUAUUAUGUUUCCCGGUUAAUACAAUUCUAGCAUGAAUAAUAAACAUUUAUCAUGAUAUGAGGAAAUAAAUAAUAGCUUUAUUAUUGCCUCUAGGGCAUAUUUCCUUCAGCCGGCCUCCUCCUCCCCCCUUUAUAUAUGGGGGCGGGGGAACCCCGAAGACACACCAAGAUUUGUCUUAGCCAUGUGCGGUGCCCCCCCUCCACAGUUUACUCCUCCGGUCAUAGCGUCGUAGUGCUUAGGCGAAGCCCUGAGCGGAUCACAUCACCAUCACCGUCACCAUGCCGUCGUGCUGACAAAACUCUCCCUGGACCCUCUACUGGAUCAAGAGCUCGAGGGACGUCAUCAAGCUAAACAUGUGCUGAACACGGAGGUGCCAUACGUUCGGUACUUGGAUCGGUUGGAUCGUGAAUAGGUUCGACUACAUCAACCGCGUUAACCUAACGCUUCCGCUUUCGGUCUACGAGGGACGUGGACACACUCUCCCCCUAUCGUUGCUAUGCAUCUCCUAGGUAGAUCUUGCGUGAGUGUAGGAAUUUUUUUGAAAUUGCAUGCUAUGUUCCCAACAGUGGCAUCCGAGCCAGGUCUAUGCGUAGAUGAUAUGCACGAGUAGAACACAAAGAGUUGUGGGAGAUAAUAGUCAUACUGCUUACCACCAACGUCUUACUUUGAUUUGGCGGUAUUGUUGGAUGAAGCGGCUUGGACCGAUAUUACAUGACCACGUUCAUGAGACUGGUUCUACCGACGUGCUUCGCACACAGGUGGCUGGCGGGUGUCUGUUUCUCCAACUUUAGUUGAAUCGAGUUUGACUACGGCCGGUCCUUGUUGAAGGUUAAAACAACACACUUGGCGAAAAAUCGUUGUGGUUUUGAUGCAUAGGUAAGAACGGUUCUUGCUAGAAGCCCGUAGCAGCCACAUAAAACUUGCAACAAUAAAGUAGAGGUCGUCUAACUUGUUUUUGCAGGGCAUGUUGUGAUGUGAUAUGGUCAAGACGUGAUGAAAUAUAAAUUGUUGUAUGAGAUGAUCAUGUUUUGUAUAAGUUAUCGGCAACUGGCAGGAUCCUUAUGGUUGUCGCUUUAUUGUAUGAAAUGCAAUCGCCAUGUUAUUGCUUUACUUUAUCACUAAGCGGGAGCGAUAGUCGUGGAAGCAAUAGUUGGCGAGACGACAACGACGCUACAAUGCAGAUCAAGGUGUCAAGCCGGUGACGAUGGAGAUCAUGACGGUGCUUUGGAGAUGGGGAUCAAAGGCACAAGAUGAUGAUGUCCAUAUCAUGUCACAUAUUUUGAUUGCAUGUGAUGUUUAUCCUUUAUGCAUCUUAUUUUGCUUAGUACGGCGGUAGCAUUAUAAGAUGACCCCUCACUAAAUUUCAAGGUAUAAGUGUUCUCCCUGAGUAUUGUAACAUCCCAAAUUUUCAAUUUGGUAUGUUAUACAUAGAUCAUCAUUGCAUAUCAUAUUUUAUUGCAUUUUGACAAAUCCUCGAUAAAUCCUAAGCAACUCAAGGACCCUCGAAGAGAGUUGGGGAUUUUCUCGAAUUUUCAUAUUUGAUUUCCAUCAAAUAAUAAAACGAGGAUUUUGGUUUUAAUUAUUUUUUCUCCGGAAAAAUAUUUCAUUUUAAAAAUAAACGAGAGGAGAAAAUAUGACUUCUCCAAAACAAUUGAAAUAUUGGAGGAAAAGUGUUAAAAUCAUUUAUUGGAAUUUAUUUGGAUUUUAUUUGCAAUUUUGAUUGCAUUAAAAAUAUUGCAUGUUUUCAAAAAUUAUUUUUGUGUGAAAAAAAUGUUCACCCUAUUCUAGAUUUUCUAACUAGACGGGGAAAAUUUGUUUUUUUGGAUUUUUAUUUAUUUUUCUACGAAUUUUUCAGCGGAACGUUUUAAAAAAAAAUGCACCGCGCCCGACUGGGCCGAGGCCCAGCCGAGCCAGGCCGGCCAGCCCGCGCCGUCUCCUUCCCCAGCACGACGCCGCCGCCGCCGGAGUNNNNNNNNNNNNNNNNNNNNNNNNNNNNNNNNNNNNNNNNNNNNNNNNNNNNNNNNNNNNNNNNNNNNNNNNNNNNNNNNNNNNNNNNNNNNNNNNNNNNNNNNNNNNNNNNNNNNNNNNNNNNNNNNNNNNNNNNNNNNNNNNNNNNNNNNNNNNNNNNNNNNNNNNNNNNNNNNNNNNNNNNNNNNNNNNNNNNNNNNNNNNNNNNNNNNNNNNNNNNNNNNNNNNNNNNNNNNNNNNNNNNNNNNNNNNNNNNNNNNNNNNNNNNNNNNNNNNNNNNNNNNNNNNNNNNNNNNNNNNNNNNNNNNNNNNNNNNNNNNNNNNNNNNNNNNNNNNNNNNNNNNNNNNNNNNNNNNNNNNNNNNNNNNNNNNNNNNNNNNNNNNNNNNNNNNNNNNNNNNNNNNNNNNNNNNNNNNNNNNNNNNNNNNNNNNNNNNNNNNNNNNNNNNNNNNNNNNNNNNNNNNNNNNNNNNNNNNNNNNNNNNNNNNUUUGUUUUAAAAAAAACCGUUCGUUUAAAAAAAACCCUAGAUCUGUUUUUUUCGGUUUUGUUAUUUUGUGAGCGUUCACCGACUCGUUCGUUUUAACGAACGCGUUCGUCGGAUUUUCUCUGUUAACGAACGUCCGUUCUUUAACCGUUCGUCCGUUUUUCUUUUUCGUCGGAUUUUUCCGCGAUUAUCUCAGAUCUCGAUUUCUGAUCGAAUCUUCGUUUCUGUUUAACUUUUCGCUCGUUUAUCGGAAUCAGGCGAUUCAAGCGCCUAGAGUUUCGUCUCGAAAUUCUCUUUCCGUGUAACCUACUCAAACAAGUUUUUGCUACUAUAAAAUUUGACCUAGAUCCAGAUUAGUAAAUGAAUCUUGUUUCUUUCGCCGUUUGACUUUCGUUGCUUCGAUCGAGUUGAUUCUUUUUGCAAACCGGAGUUCUUAAGUUGAACUUUCUGGUUGGAUCUUUCAUUCGAGUUUUACCUGUGCAUUAGAUGAGUACUGAUUGUCUGCUUGUUUGUUUGCGAUAGAGUACCCAGAGUGUGCCGCUUGUUACUUCGAAUCGCUAGGUUUCGCGGAUCAUCGGCAAGGCAAGUAACACUUUGAUCAUACUUUCCAUACCCAGUUUUAUUGCAUUAGAUCUAUUCCUCAAACGCUUGCAUGAUUAGGAUCUAAUUAAAUUGUGGGAAUUGGGAAGUAGUUGAGGUAGUACCUAUUACCUGUUCUCUUAUCAAACCCUUGGGAGUUACUUCUACGUUGCUAUUAUAUUGCCAUGCUAUGCUCGUAGACGUGGAUUGGGUUUGAGAGAUAUUCAUGACAGAUGUGAGAUUGUUAAUAAUGGUUUACCUAAGGUGGCAACUAAAACUCACAUCUGGGUGGAUUGAGGCACCUGGAGAAUCCAGUGUUGUCUGUUUGUAUAAGGACCGCCACCCAGGCUCAAAGGGAUCAUAAGAUUAUUCAUGCUAGAAACUUCCAUGUGCAGCCACAAGCUAUUAUGGGCUCCAGCAUAGUUGAGUAGGUUACAUGAUCUCUUGAAGAGGUGGGCUAGCAGAUGUAGGGGAAAGUAGGUGUACCGGUCCACCCGGAGUAAAGAGUGAUUGUUCCUGAAAGACUGUGUCUCGGUCAUCCGUUUCUCAAACAUCAUGCAGUGCGAGAAUCAAGCGGAGGCGAUCGAGUCUUGUGGGGAAAAGUGCGCAAACCUCUGCAGAGUGUACAAACUAAUCAUGGUUAGCCGUGUCCCCGGUUAUGGACAACUUGAGUAUCUAGUACUUGGAUUAUCAUUUGAAUCUUGUCACCAUGUUACUUUUAAUUAAUUUUGUUGGGUUAUUGAUGACACUUAAUUGGGAUUGAGAUGCUGUCAACCAUCUCAAUGUUUCACAACCACCAUGAUAGUUAAAUAAACCUUUGAAGUAGGAAAAAAUUGGCUUUUCGCAAAAACUUAACUGUAGAGCUUUCCACCAGCCAUACAUGCAUGUAGUAUAGCAUUAUCAUUGUUCAUUAUUCUCUAUGUGUUACUUUGCCAGCAUAUUCUAUGUGCUGACCCGUUUUUCGGGCUGCAACGUUUCAUGUUGCAGACUUUUCAGACGAUGAGUAAGGUGCCUUAGGUCGUGGUCUUAUACUCAGUGAUGCCGCUGGAGUUGAUGGACUCACUUAUCUUCCAAGUCUUCCGCUGUUAUCGUAUUUAGAUGGCCUUAAGCCAUAUUUAUCAUACUUGUUCUCUUUGGAGAUAUUCGAUGUAAUAAGUGUGUGAUUGCUACUCUUUUAUAAAUCCUCCAUUUGUACUGUGCAUGUCAGCAUUACUGAUCCAGGGAUGACACUGGUGCACAGCAGCACAGACCAUUUGAGGUCUGGUCGCUACAAGUAUGCACCGUUGCUACAGUUCGUCAUGCCGAGACACCACGUGAUGAUCGGGUGUUAUAAGCUCUACGUUCACAUACAACGGGUGCAAGCCAGUUUUGCACGUGAAAAAUACUCGGGUUAAACUUGACGAGCCUAGCAUAUGCAGAUAUGGCCUCGGAACACUGAGACUGUAAGGUCGAACGUGAAUCAUAUAGUAGAUAUGAUCAACAUAGAGAUGUUCACCAUUGAAAACUACUCCAUCUCACGUGAUGAUCGGACAUGGUUUAGUUGAUAUGGAUCACGUGAUCAUUUAGAAGACUAGAGGGAUGUCUAUCUAAGUGGGAGUUCUUAAGUAGUAUUAUUAAUUGAACUUUAAUUUAUCAUGAACUUAGUACCUGAUAGUUUUUUGCAGAUCUAUGUUGUUGUAGAUCAAUGGCCUGUGCUACCGUUCCCUUAAAUUUUAAUGCGUUCCUAGAGAAAACAAAGUUGAAAGAUGAUAGUAGCUGUGAUGCGGACUAGGUCCGUGAUCUGAGGAUUAUCCUCAUUGCUGCAUAGAAGAAUUAUGUCCUUGAUGCACCGCUAGGUGACAUAACUAUUGUAGGAGCAAAUGCAGACGUUAUGAACGUUUGACAAGCUCGGUAUGAUGACUACUUGAUAGUUUAGUGCACCAUGCUUUACGGCUUAGAACCGGGACUUCAAAAAAUGUUUUGAACAACAUGGAGCAUAUGAGAUGUUCCAAGAGUUGAAAUUGGUAUUUCAGACUCAUGCCCGUGUUAAGAGGUAUGAGACCUCUGACAAAGUACUUUGCCUACAAGAUGGAGGAGAAUAGCUAAGCUAGUGAGCAUAUGCUCAGAAUGUCUGGGUACUACAAUCGCUUGAAUCAAGUGGGAGUUAAUCUUCCAAAUAAGAUAGUGAUUGACAAAGUUCUCUAGUCACUAUCACCAAGUUACUAGAACUUCGUGAUGAACUAUAAUAGUCGAGGGAUGACGAAAACGAUUCCCAAGCUCUUCACAAUGCUGAAAUUAGCAAAGGUAGAAAUCAAGAAAAAUCAUCAAGUGUUGAUGGUUAACAAGACCACUAGUUUCAAGAAAAGGGCAAGGGAAAGAAAGGGAAAACUUCAAACGAAUGGCAAGAAAGUUGCCACUCCCAUGAAGAAGCCCAAAGCCAGACCCAAGCCUGAAACUGAGUGCUUCUACUGCAAAAGCAAUGGUCACUGGAAGUGAACUGCCCUAGAUACUUGGCCGAUAAGAAGGAUGGCAAAGUGAACAAAGGUAUAUUUGAUAUACAUAUUAUUGAUGUGUACUUUACUAGUGUUUAUAGCAACCCCUCGGUAUUUGAUACUGGUUCAGUUGCUACGAGUAGUAACUUGAAAUAGGAGUUGCAAGAUAAAUAGAUAGUAGUUAAGGACGAGGUGACGAUGUGUGUUGGCAGUAAUUCCAAGGUUGAUACGAUCACCAUCGCACACUCCCUAUACCUUCGGGAUUAGAAUUGAACCUAAAUAAAUGUUAUUUGGUGUUUGUGUUGAGCAUUAAUAUGAUUAGAUCAUGUUUAUUGCAAUAAGGUUAUUCAUUUAAGUCAGAGAAUAAUUGUUUUUCUGUUUAUAUGAAUAAGACCUUCUAUGGUCAUACACCCAAUGUGAAUGUUUUAUUGAAUCUCGAUCGUAGUGAUACACAUAUUGAUAAUAUUGAUGCCAAAAGAUGCAAAGUUUAUAAUGAUAGUGCAACAUAUUUGUGGCACUGCCGUUUAGGUCAUAUUGGUGUAAAGCGGAUGAAGAAACUCCAUGUUGAUGGGCUUUUGGAAUCACUUGACUAUAAAUGACUUGAUGCUUGCGAACCAUGCCUCGUGGGCAAGAUGACUAAGACUCCAUUCUCCGGAACAAUGGAGCGAGCAACUGACUUAUUGGAAAUAAUACAUACUGGUGUAUGUGGUCCAAUGAGUGUUGAGGCUCGCGGCGGGUAUCGUUAUUUUCUGACCUUCACAGAUGAUUUGAGCAGAUAUGGGUAUAUCUACUUAAUGAAACAUAAGUCUGAAACAUUUGAAAAGAAUUUCAGAGUGAAGUAGAAAAUCAUCGUAACAAGAAAAUAAAGUUUCUACGAUCUGAUCGUGGAGGUGAAUAUUUGAGUUAUGAGAUUGGUCUUCAUUUGAAACAAUGUGGAAUAGUUUCGCAACUCAUGCCACUUGGAACACCACAGCGUAAUGGUGUGUCCGAACGUCGUAACCGCACUUUAUUAGAUAUGGUGCGAUCUAUGAUGUCUCUUACCGAUUUACCACUAUCAUUUUGGGGUUAUGCAUUAGAGACAGCUGCAUUCACGUUAAAUAGGGCACCAUCUAAAUCCGUUGAGACGACACCGUAUGAACUGUGGUUUGGCAAGAAACCUAAGUUGUCGUUUCUUAAAGUUUGGGGCUGCGAUGCUUAUGUGAAAAAGCUUCAACCUGAUAAGCUCGAAUCCAAAUCGGAGAACUGCGUCUUCAUAGGAUACCCAAAAGAAACUGUUGGGUACACCUUCUAUCACAGAUCCGAAGGCAAGAUUUUUUGCUAAGAAUGGAUCCUUUCUAGAGCAGGAGUUUCUCUCGAAAGAAGUGAGUGGGAGGAAAGUAGAACUUGAUGAGGUAGUUGUACCUUCUCUCGAGUUGGAAAGUAGUUCAUCACAGAAAUCAGUUCCAGUGAUGCCUACACCAAUUAGCGAGGAAGUUAAUGCUGAUGAUCAUGAAACUUCAUAUCAAGUUACUACCAAACCUCGUAGGUCAAACAGAGUACGUUCCGCACCAGAGUGGUACGGUAAUCCUGUUCUGGAAGUCAUGUUACUAGACCAUGACGAACCUACCAACUAUGAGGAAGCGAUGAUGAGCCCAGAUUCUGCGAAAUGGCUUGAGGCCAUGAAAUCUGAGAUGGGAUCCAUGUAUGAGAACAAAGUGUGGACUUUGGUUGACUUGCCCGAUGAUUGGCAAGCAAUAGAGAAUAAAUGGAUCUUCAAGAAGAAGACUGACGCUGAAGGUAAUAUUACUGUCUACAAAGCUCGACUUGUCGCAAAAGGUUUUCGACAAGUUCAAGGUGUUGCCUACUAUGAGAUUUUCUCACUCGUAGCGAUGCUUAAGUCUGUCCGAAUCAUGUUAGCAAUUGUCACAUUUUAUGAAAUCUGACAAAUGGAUGUCAAAACUGCAUUCCUUAAUGGAUUUCUUAAAUAAGAGUUGUAUAUGAUGCAACAAGAAGGUUUUGUCAAUCCUAAAAGUGCUAACAAAAUGCGCAAGCUCCAGCGAUCCAUCUAUGGACUGGUGCAAGCAUCUCGGAGUUGGAAUAUACGCUUUGAUGAGUUGAUCAAAGCAUAUAAUUUUAUACAGACUUGCGGUGAAGCCUGUAUUUACAAGAAAGUGAGUGGGAGCUCCGUAGCAUUUCUAAUAUUAUAUGUAGAUGACAUAUUUUUAAUUGGAAAUGAUACAGAAUUUCUGGAUAGCAUAAAAGGAUAUUUGAAUAAGAAUUUUUCAAUAAAAGACCUCGGUGAAGCUGCUUAUAUAUUGGGCAUCAAGAUCUAUAGAGAUAGAUCAAGACACUUAAUUGGACUUUCACAAAGCACAUACCUUGAUAAAGUUUUGAAGAAGUUCAAAAUGGAUCAGUCAAAGAAAGGAUUCUUGCCUGUAUUACAAGGUGUGAAAUUGAGUCAGACUCAAUGCCCGACCACUGUAGAAGAUAGAGAGAAAAUAAAAGUCAUUCCCUAUGCCUCAGCCAUAGGUUCUAUCAUGUAUGCAAUGAUAUGUACCAGACCUGAUGUGUGCCUUGCUAUAAGUUUAGCAGGGAGGUACCAAAGUAAUCCAGGAGUGGAUCACUGGACAACGGUCAAGAACAUCCUGAAAUACCUGAAAAGGACUAAGGAUAUGUUUCUCGUUUAUGGAGGUGACAAAGAGCUCGUCGUAAACGGUGACACUGAUCCAGAUGACUCUAAGUCACAAACCGGAUACGUAUUUAUAUUGAAUGGUGGAGCUGUCAGUUGGUGCAGUUCCAAGAAGAGCGUCGUGGCGGGAUCUACGUGUGAAGUGGAGUACAUAACUGCUUCGGAAGCAGCAAAUGAAGGAGUCUGGAUGAAGGAGUUAAUAUCUGUUCUAGGUGUAAUACUAGUGCAUCGGGUCCAAUGUAAAUCUUUUGUGACAAUACUGGAGCAAUUGCCAUGGCGAAGGAAUCCAGAUUUCACAAGAGAACCAAACACAUCAAGAGACGCUUCAAUUCCAUCCACGAUCAAGUCAAGGAGGGAGACAUAGAGAUUUGCAAAAUACAUACGGAUCUGAAUGUUGCAGAACCGUUGACUAAGCCUCUUCCAUGAGCAAAACAUGAUCAGCACCAAGACUCCAUGGGUGUUAGAAUCAUUACUAUGUAAUCUAGAUUAUUGACUCUAGUGCAAGUGGGAGACUGAAGAAAAUAUGCCCUAGAGGCAAUAAUAAAGUUGUUAUUUAUAUUUCCUUAUAUCAUGAUAAAUGUUUAUUAUUCAUGCUAGAAUUGUAUUAACCAAAAACUUAGUACAUGUGUGAAUACACAGACAAAAUAGAGUGUCCCUAGUAUGCCUCGACUUGACUAGCUCGUUAAUCAAAGAUGGUUAAGUUUCCUGACCAUUGCUACCUCUUGAGCACUACGUUGGUUUUCCCUUGAAGAGGAAAGGGUGAUGCAGCAAAGUAGCGUAAGUAUUUCCCUCAGUUUUUGAGAACCAAGGUAUCAAUCCAGUACGAGACCACGCUCAAGUCCCACGCACCUACACAAACAAAUAUGAACCUUGCAACCAACGCGAUAAAGGGGUUGUCAAUCCCUUCACGGCCACUUGCAAAAGUGAGAUCUGAUAGAGAAGAUAAGAUGAUAUUUUUGGUACUUUUAUAAUAAAGACUAAAAGUAAAGAAAGCAAAAAAUAAACGGCGCAAGAAAUAGCUAGUUGACGGGAGAUUAAUAUGAUGGAGAAUAGACCCGGGGGCCAUAGGUUUCACUAGUGGCUUCUCUCAAGAGCAUAAGUAUUACGGUGGGUAAACGAAUUACUAUCGAGCAAUUGAUAGAAUUGAGCAUAGUUAUGAGAAUAUCUAGGUAUGAUCAUGUAUAUAGGCAUCACGUCCGUGAAAAGUAGACCGACUCCUGCCUACAUCUACUACUAUUACUCCACACAUCGACCGCUAUCCAGCAUGCAUCUAGAGUAUUAAGUUCAUAAGAACGGAGUAACGCUUUAAGCAAGAUGACAUGAUGUAGAGGGAUAAACUCAUGCAAUAUGAUAUAAACCCCAUCUUUUUAUCCUCGAUGGAAACAAUACAAUACGUGUCGUUUCCCCUGCUGUCACUGGGAUCGAGCACCUCAAGAUUGAACCCAAAGCUAAGCACUUCUCCCAUUGCAAGAUAGGUCAAUCUAGUAGGCCAAACCAAACUGAUAAUUCGAAGAGACUUGCAAAGAUAACCAAUCAUACAUAAAAGAAUUCAGAGGAGAUUCAAAUAUUGUUCAUAGAUAAUCUUGAUCAUAAACCCACAAUUCAUUAGAUCUCGACAAACACACCGCAAAAUAAGAUUACAUCGAAUAGAUCCCCAAGAGAAUCGAGGAGAACUUUGUAUUGAGAUCCAAAGAGAGAGAAGAAGCCAUCUAGCUAAGAACUAUGGACCCGAAGGUCUGAGGUAAACUACUCACACAUCAUCGGAGUGGCUAUGGUGUUGAUGUAGAAGCCCUCCGUGAUCAAUGCCCCCUCCGGCGGAGCGCCGGAAAAGGCCCCAAGAUGGGAUCUCAUGGGUACAGAAGGUUGCGGCGGUGGAAAUAGGGUUUUGGCUCCGUCUAUGAUGUUUUCGGGGUACGUAGGUAUAUAUAGGAGGAAGAAGUAGGUCGGUGGAGCUGUGAGGGGCCCACGAGGGUGGAGGGUGCGCCCCCCUGCCUCGUGGCUUCCUCGUCGGUUGCUUGAUGUCCACUCCAAGUCCUCUGGAUCACGUUUGUUCAGAAAAUCACGUUCCCGAAGGUUUCAUUCCGUUUGGACUCCGUUUGAUAUUCCUUUUCUGUGAAACACUGAAAUAGGCAAAAAACAGCAAUUUGGGCUGGGCCUCCGGUUAAUAGGUUAGUCCCAAAAAUAAUAUAAAAGUGUAUAAUAAAGCCCAUUAAACAUCCAAAAUAGAAUAUAAUAUAGCAUGGAACAAUAAAAAAUUAUAGAUACGUUGGAGACGUAUCAAGCAUCCCCAAGCUUAAUUCCUGCUCGUCCUCGAGUAGGUAAAUGAUAAAAACAGAAUUUUUGAUGUGGAAUGCUACUUAGCAUAAUUUUCCUCUUAUUUGUGGUAUGAAUGUUCAGAUCCGAAAGAUUCAAGAUAAAAGUUUAAUAUUGACAUAAAAGUAAUAAUACUUCAAGCAUACUAACAAAGCAAUCAUGUCUUCUCAAAAUAACAUGGCCAAAGAAAGUUAUCCCUACAAAAUCAUAUAGUCUGGCUAUUGUGACGCCCCCAAUUUGACCGUACACUAAUCAUGCACGCAAAUGUGUACGAUCAAGAUUAGGGACUCACGAGAAGAUAUCACAACACAACUCUAAAACAUAAAUAAGUCAUACAAGCAUCAUAAUACAAGCCAGGGCCCUCGAGGGCUCGAAUACAAGUGCUCGAUCAUAGACGAGUCAGCAGAAGCAACAAUAUCUGAGUACAGACAUAAGUUAAACAAGUUUUCCUUAAGAAGGCUAGCACAAAAGUAGCAACGAUCGAAAAGGCAAGGCCUCCUGCCUGGGACCUCCUAACUACUAUUGUUAAAAGCAGGAAGGCGCUAACAUUUGCACGGUCAAGAUAGCAAAGUAUGUCAGAGGAUAGCCUGUCAGUUUUGUUGGAAACAAUGUUGGUACCAAGGGCGAGGGACGAAGAGAACCAUUUUCUUGCUCGUUGAAACGAGGCGGACCAAUAGGCAAGGUUCUCGUCCAUCGGUGAUUACCGGAAUGUCAUCAACAAUAGUAACAGGGUCUUACUGACAUAGUGGUACAACAAGGUGCUUCCCUAAGCAGGGAAUUAUCACUGCUCAGCUAAGUCAGAUUACAAGAGACGUUAAUCCAAACAAUGGAAAGGAAAAUGUGAUUAUCAGAUUAAACAGAACAAUGGAAAGGAAAAUGUGUUAAAACACAUAUUUCAGGGGUAUAUCCUUCCCAAGGACAAGCAGAGCAUGAUAUCCAUGAGAGGAUAUAAUGUAGAAAACCCCUUAGGAAAGGGGAGAGAAAUUUCAUGACAUUACCCAUACAACGGUGUUUGGAUAAUUGAGCAAGAAACAUUUAGCAUUAGGCUUCAAAUGUUCUUGUUGAAAAUCGAAGUACCAUAGACAUGCUUCGAGAUAGCAUUGACAUGGUCAUCAUGUAAAGGUCGGACUUUGGAUACACAAAGGAUCCAUCAGAAUCAACUUAUAGAAUAAGUCUUACGAUUUUUUCAUGGAAGAAUGAUUAACCUUGCUAAAAAGGAAGCUAUAACAAUAGGUCCUCCAGCCAGGUGUGCAUGCCAUGACAUCAUCUUACCGGGUUAUAUAAAGGCAAAUGUUAUAACUCUUGGAUAUAUGUUCCAACCAUCAUAUCUGACCAAGAUUCAGAUCUGAUUGGUGUCAGGAUACCUCAGACUCUGGAUGCUUGAAAAGAAAAGGUGCAACACCAAUUGACGAAUUAACGUUGCAAGAUUCUCGGGAAAUGGUGUCCAGAAGCAAGGCUCUGAAACAAGGGUUCAUCAUUAAACCAAGGAGAGGAUGAUGAGGUGGCUGAUGGGCUAAGGACAAUUCAUCGAGAUUUCCAAAAGAUGGAUUUACACAAUUACGUGAACAAGGAGAUAACAUUCGUCAGAUCAAAUGAUAUAAUGACUUAUGCUAGAGGGAAACAUACACAAUCAAACAUUGGUUGAAAUGUGCGCCCGAAAUAUGGGCAUAGGUAGCAUGAUAAAUGUUAGAAUGGUGAUUCGAUAACCAAUGGUCUAAGAAUGAAAUGUCAACAAUAACUUCAAAGCAAUAGGGUUGCUAGAAGUUUUGAAGUCACACAUCAUAGUUCGAUUGUCGGUUUUUCGGUUAAAAAUAACACGGGGACCAAGGAAUGAACGGAUAUGGCAAAAGGUAUCACCUGCAUCAAGAAUUCUUAAGAGGUGGUGAAAUUCUCACGACAUUCUUGACAUAAAAGAUGGUAAUACUCCAAGGUAAAGAAGAACAAAUGCUGGAUAGCAAGGAUCUCAAGGUAUAACACAAAACACGAACAAGUUGGUGUUGAACGGAAGGCAAUCGAGUGGUCGAUGAUAACACAAAUCAUCAAGGGCAAGGAUGGUAUUUCUCAUCAUGAAUUCAAUUGAUAUCCUGGAAGAGCUUAGAAUGCUGAUGAUGAUCACGACACAUUUGUCGAGAGAUUUCAUGAAGAUGUAAUCGAUCGGCGAUGACAUCAAGUGAAAGGAAUUAUGAAGCAAAAGGUUAUUGAAACCAUGGGUACGACACAAACUCGAAACCAAGCUCGUUGUUCAAGGCGAAAGGAUAUGACAAGGAAGAGCGGCGUAAGCUUAACUCAUUGUCAAAAAUUGUGCUGUGGGAAGAAGGACCGGAUAGCACAGUUAAAAUUUAACAUGGUAAUGAUAUAGCCGAUCAGGCUUGGGAUGACUUGAAGGAUUAUUAAACUCGUAAGCAACGAAAAUUACUUAGAGUUAUUGAAUCAGAGUGCGGACUCGAUUCACUAUUUUGUGUUCUCGAGUGUCUAACAACUCAGAACCCGGGGAAAAUUGGAAUCGGUGAGAAAUAAUACUUGAAGAACUCAUAAGAAGUAAUAUGGUUCUGUGCUAUUAUCGAGAUACCAUGGGGUAAUACUCGAAGGUAGAUCAUAAUAGAGGUUGGACGGGUGCAUUGAUCUGCAGAGGACAAGUGGUUCAACUUGUCCGAGAAAAGGAUCAAAGAUGACCAAUCAUGGUCGGAACCACGGUUGCAAAGGACCAACAUAGAUACAAGAUGAACUUAUAACAAGGGGACCAUUAUUAAUACAAGAAGCUUCCAUGAUAGAUUCCACAUCGGGUCCAUGGGCAUGAACACAAAGUCCAAGGUCGACUCCCACUUCUUCAAUGCAUAACCUUUCAUUCACUUCUCGUGUUUGAUGAAGUUGCAGUGUUGAAAAUUUUUAUCUGGCAAAAUACCAGAAGAGUAUGACUCAUGAAAACUUUCGAGUUCACACAUAUUAUGAAAGGCAUAGGUUCAACCCAUCGGGGCAUCGUGGAAACAUAUACCACAAGCUUCAGGGGUAAAUAACUCAAGCUCGAUAGUAGAGCAUGGGUGUCAAAACGAGAGGAUACAAUUUACUAAAGGCAUUAUGUAUCAGGGAAAGAACUCACAAGGUGAUUAAAUAUGAGGGCACUGUCGGAUAAUAAUCUAACAAAGGAUUUGGUGGUCCACAAGGGAUCAGAUGUGAGCAUCGGUACUCAACUAGAGGAAGAAAGAAUGCAAGGGGAUCAGAUUAUAGAAACAACUGGCUAACUCAAAGCUCAAAUGCAAAGGAAUUUAUGAUUUCCAAAUCAAGGGAUCAAAAGCAAACGCUCUGAUUAAGGAUGGAUAAGAUGAAUAGCCUUAGGGGUACAAUCGAUGGCAAUUUGAUUGGUCGAUACCAGCUCAUGUUUAAAAUGACGUUUGAGCCAGAAGGAAGAAUUCUAGGAUCUGAUUGAGGAUUGUGAGCAUUCGCAACAGAUUGAAUCAACGGACUCAAAAUGAUAAUGACAAGAGAUGCCAAUAGGAUUACGAGACUUAAGAUUAAUCAUAAUGCAAGUAAGCAAGAAUUUCAAGAGCAAAAGGCUCCUGAGGAUUUUCGGAAGAUCGAAUGGUAUUUUGAACACUUUUGUGAAAUACUUGAAUCAACUGGGAUGAGCGGAUACUCGGUAAGUGCGAGAAUUAUCCGUAGGGGUAUUCAGGUGACAAAGAACAGCAAGGUAGUAAGCUCAAAGGAUUCUCGGAACAACAGAGAGAAUUUCGGGGUAUCUUGUAAUAACAAGAUCAACUGGGAAACAUUGUAUGAAUGGCGAGUAUACGUGGUUAUCCAUAGGAGUUUAUCGAUGAAAGGGAAUUGCAAAAGCGAUGAACACAAGUUCUCGGGUUAUGAGCGGAGAGUAUCUUCAGGGUCUUCACGUGCAGCAGACGAUCAUCAGUAAUAAGGGGCUCUCCGGGUGAAAGUGAUAACGAGAUCCUAAUGUUAGAUUUAGCAAAAUUCAUUUAACCCAAAUAGGAGAGAGAUGAGAGUCCCAGAGUAAAGGUCGAGGAGUAAAAGAUCCUAGUACCACCCAAUGGCGACGUGGGCACGUAAGACACACAGCCAUGUUAGUAAAAGUUUUGCAAUGUCUAGACUCGACUUCGGCCAAGGAGUGUGGAAGGGGGAUUCCUACAGGCAGUCGGCUCUGAUACCAACUUGUGACGCCCCCGAUUUGACCGUACACUAAUCAUGCACGCAAAUGUGUGCGACCAAGAUCAGGGACUCACGAGAAGAUACCACAACACAACUCUAAAACAUAAAUAAGUCAUACAAGCAUCAUAAUACAAGCCAGGGCCCUCGAGGGCUCGAAUACAAGUGCUCGAUCAUAGACGAGUCAGCAGAAGCAACAAUAUCUGAGUACAGAGAUAAGUUAAACAAGUUUGCGUUAAGAAGGCUAGCACAAAAGUAGCAACGAUCGAAAAGGCAAGGCCUCCUGCCUGGGACCUCCUAACUACUCCUCGAAGCCGAACUCCACGUAGAAUCAUCCUCGGGAUCUCUAGCUCCUGGACUCCAGCAUCUGGUUGCGACAAUCCGGUAUAGAAAGGGGAAAAGAGGGAGAAAAGCAACCGUGAGUAGUCAUCCAAAGUACUCGCAAGCAAGGAGCUACACUACAUAUGCAUGGGUAUAUGUGUAAAGGGCCAUAUCAGUGGACUGAACUGCAGAAUGCCAGAAUAAGAGGGGGAUAGCUAAUCCUGUCGAAGACUACGCUUCUGGCAGCCUCCAUCUUGCAGCAUGUAGAAGAGAGUAGAUUGAAGUCCUCCAAGUAGCAUCGUAUAGCAUAAACCUACCCAGCGAUCCCCUCCUCGUCGCCCUGUUAGAGAGCGAUCACCGGGUUAUAUCUGGCACUUGGAAGGGUGUGUUUUAUUAAGUAUCCAGUUCUAGUUGUCAUAAGGUCAAGGUACAACUCCGGGUCGUCCUUUUACCGAGGGACACGGCUAUUCGAAUAGAUAAACUUCCCUGCAGGGGUGCACCACAUAACCCAACACGCUCGAUCCCAUUUGGCCGGACACACUUUCCUGGGUCAUGCCCGGCCUCGGAAGAUCAACACGUCGCAACCCCACCUAGGCUCAACAGAGAGGUCAGCACGCCGGUCUAAACCCUAUGCGCGCAGGGGUCUGGGCCCAUCGCCCAUUGUACACCUGCACGUUGCGUACGCGGCCGGAAGCAGACCUAGCCCCCUUAAUACAAGCGCGAGCUUACGGUCCAAUGCGGCGCGCGCCACUCAGUCGCUGACGUCAAAAAGAGCUUCGACUGAUACCACGACGUCGAGUGCCCAUAACUAUUCCCGCGUAGUUGGUUAGUGCGUAUAGACCAAAUGGCCAGACUCAGAUCAAAUACCAAGAUCCCGUUAAGCGUGUUAAGUAUGCGCGAACGCCGACCAGGGCCAGGCCCACCUCUCUCCUAGGUGGUCUCAACCUGCCCUGUCGCUCCGCCACAAAGUAACAGUCGGGGGCCGUCAGGAACCCAGGCCCACCUCUACCGGGAUGGAGCCACCUGUCCUUUCAGCCCCCUCAUCAGAAUCACUUGCGGGUACUCCUCGAGCCGACCCGACUUUAGUCACCACAUGUAUCAUGUAUAAAGUACAUAGUAUAUACCCGUGAUCACCUCCCGAAGUGAUCACGGCCCAGUAGUAUAGCAUGGCAGACGGACAAGAGUGUAGGGACACUGAUGGAACACUAGCAUCCUAUACUAAGCAGUAGGAUAGCAGGUAAGGGUAACAACUGUAGCAACAAUGACAGGCUAUGCAUCAGUAUAGGAUUAACCGAAAGCAGUAACAUGCUACACUACUCUAAUGCAAGCAGUAUAUAGAAGGAAUAGGCGAUAUCUGGUGAUCAAGGGGGGGCUUGCCUGGAAGCUUUGUUGUACAUGAAGAAGGGUCGUCGGUGACGUAGUCGUGCUCAGCGGCAUCAGCGCCGGUCUCGGGGUCUACCGGAGAAGAAGAGGGGGAAGAAACAGUAAAUACAGAGCAAACAAAGCAUCACAAAACAUAACAUGGCAAUACGCGGUGCUAGGUAUGCUCUAACGCGGUGGAAGGUGAUACCGACGAAGGGGGAAACAUCCGGGAAAAUAUCCCCGGCGUUUCGCGUUUUCGGACAGAUGAAUCGGAGGGGAAAAGUUGCGAGUUUGCUAUGCUAGGGAUGUGUGGCGGACGAACGGGCUGCGUAUCCGGAAUUGUCUCGUCGUUCUGAGCAACUUUCAUGUACAAAGUUUUUUCAUCCGAGCUACGGAUUAUUUUAUAUUAAUUUAUAAAGAUUUAAUUUAUUUCUAGAAUUAAUUUAAUUAGAAAAGUAAUUAUGACGUCAGCGUGAGGUCAGCAUGAUGUCAUCAGUCAACCAUGUGUUGACUGGGUCAACAGACGCGUGGGUCCCGUUUGUCAUAGUCUCAGGUGGGUCCCGUGGGUCAACAGUAGUUAGUUUUUAUUAAUUGAAUAAUUAGUUUUAAUUAUUUAAUUAAACAGAUUAAUUAAGUUAAUUAACUAAAUUUUAUUAUUAUUAUUUUUAUAACUUUAUUUUUCCUUUAAAAAAAACAAGUUUCCAGGGGGGGCCACUGUCAGUGGCCCUAGGGCCAAAGGGGGCGGUUCGGGCGCUGGUGCCCGACAGGGCGCCUGGGGAGGGGGCGCUGGCGAGGCUCGAAGCGGGGCGAGGCCGUGGUGGUGCGCGGGCGGCCGCCGGAGGCCGUGCNNNNNNNNNNNNNNNNNNNNNNNNNNNNNNNNNNNNNNNNNNNNNNNNNNNNNNNNNNNNNNNNNNNNNNNNNNNNNNNNNNNNNNNNNNNNNNNNNNNNNNNNNNNNNNNNNNNNNNNNNNNNNNNNNNNNNNNNNNNNNNNNNNNNNNNNNNNNNNNNNNNNNNNNNNNNNNNNNNNNNNNNNNNNNNNNNNNNNNNNNNNNNNNNNNNNNNNNNNNNNNNNNNNNNNNNNNNNNNNNNNNNNNNNNNNNNNNNNNNNNNNNNNNNNNNNNNNNNNNNNNNNNNNNNNNNNNNNNNNNNNNNNNNNNNNNNNNNNNNNNNNNNNNNNNNNNNNNNNNNNNNNNNNNNNNNNNNNNNNNNNNNNNNNNNNNNNNNNNNNNNNNNNNNNGGAGGCCGUGCGGGUGGCAGCCGGAGGUGGCGCUCGGCUGCGGCCCAGCGGGAGCUGCGGCAGUGGCCGCCGGGAGGCUAGGCCGAAGCCGCAGGGGGAGGCGGGCGGUGACCGAAGGUGACGGCGAGCGGGACAGGGGCGGCCAGCGGUAGGAGCGGGAUGCGGCCACCACAGGAGGGCAGAGAGGGAGCACGAGGCGUGCUCACGUUCGUUGUAGGGAAGAGGGCGGCGUCGCUCGAUGGUGUCCGGCGAGGAGGAGGAUGGGGACGAGCGACGUAGACGGGGAGGCAGCGCCAACGACGGCGGAUGGCGGGGUGGCUCCAGCGGGGGUCGUCCGGCGUCGGCGCAGGUCGUCGGGGGCGUCGAUUGCCCCCGACCGGAUCCACGCAAAAGGGGGUUGAGGAGGCGGGCGACGACGGGGCAGCGCCGGGCGGCGUCGGUGAGGUGGCGGUGGUUGGCGACGGUGGUGGUCGAGGCGGAGGCGCUUCCGGGCGGCGGCGACGUCGUCCAGCGUUGGUGGCGGGGCGAUGGCGACGGGGGCGACGAAGCGACGGCGUCGCGGGCGGCGACGUGGUGGUGGCGACGGGCGUCGGGGGCGAUGGGGUCAAGCCCUCGAUCUCGAUCCAGAUCGUGGGGGGGAGUGUGCGGUCUGGGUGGGGUUAGGGUUACGGGGUCCAGGGGAUAAUGNNNNNNNNNNNNNNNNNNNNNNNNNNNNNNNNNNNNNNNNNNNNNNNNNNNNNNNNNNNNNNNNNNNNNNNNNNNNNNNNNNNNNNNNNNNNNNNNNNNNNNNNNNNNNNNNNNNNNNNNNNNNNNNNNNNNNNNNNNNNNNNNNNNNNNNNNNNNNNNNNNNNNNNNNNNNNNNNNNNNNNNNNNNNNNNNNNNNNNNNNNNNNNNNNNNNNNNNNNNNNNNNNNNNNNNNNNNNNNNNNNNNNNNNNNNNNNGGGCUUCUCUCUUUUAUUUUUGUGUUUACUUUCUUUUAAAAUUUUGUUUCUGUUCAUUUACUUUCCCUAUAGUUUUCAAUUUAUUUUAGUUUCAAAAAUACAAAAACAACUCCUAAAUCAGUAUAGCUUAAUAUACCACUGCCACAUUUAAUUAUGGCACCCAAGUAAAAUAGUUUAACAUUUUAUUAAUUCUAAAAAGGCAUUAUCUAAUUGAUUAAGCCACUGUUUUAAUUAUUUUAGUGCCUUUAAUUAUUUUAUAAAAAUGUGGGUUCUCCCCAUUAUUACUAAGGAUUUAUUUGUAACAUUUAGCACAUUUUAGUUUUUAUGUUUGAAAUUUUUUAUCGUUUGACUUUAAUUCAAAUUUGAAUUUGAAUCGGUUUCGAACUAACGCGAGAUUAACAACAAUAACCGAGGUGACGUGGCAUCAUUAGCAGAGGGUUACUGUAGCUUAAUUAUCCGGGCGUCACAGCUAUGCUCUAUCUUCCCCACACAAAGUAUUUAAAUCAUGCACAACCCCGAUGACAAGCCAAGCAAUUGUUUCAUACUUUUUAUGUUCUCAAACUUUUUCAAUCUUCACGCAAUACAUGAGUGUGUGCCAUGGAUAUAGCGCUAUAGGUGGAGUAGAAUGGUGGUUGUGGAGAAGACAAAAAGGAGAAGAUAGUCUCACAUCAACUAGGCGUAUCAACGGGCUAUGGAGAUGCCCAUUAAUAGAUAUCAAUGUGAGUGAGUAGGGAUUGCCAUGCAACGGAUGCACUAGAGCUAUAAGUGUAUGAAAGCUCAACAAAAGAAACUAAGUGGGUGUGCAUCCAACUCGCUUGCUCAUGAAGACCUAGGGCAAUUUAAGGAAGCUCAUCAUUGGAAUAUACAAGCCAAGUUCUAUAAUGUAAAAUUCCCACUAGUAUAUGAAAGUGACAUCAUACGAGACUCUCUAUCAAUGAAGAUCAUGGUGCUACUUUGAAGCACAAGUGUGGAAAAAGGAUAGUAGCAUUGUCCCUUCUCUCUUUUCUCUCAUUUUUUUGUUGGGCCUUCUCCUUCUUUUUUAUGGCCUCUUUUUUUUGUCUGGAGUCUCAUCCCGACUUGUGGGGGAAUCAUAGUCUCCAUCAUCCUAUCCUCACUUGGGACUAUGCUCUAAUAAUGAUGAUCAUCACACUUUUAUUUACUUACAACUCAAGUAUUACAACUCAAUACUUAGAACAAAAUAUGACUCUAUAUGAAUGCCUCCAGCGGUGUACCGGGAUAUGCAAUGAACCAGGAGUGACAUGUAUGAAGAUAAGGAACGGUGGCUUUGCCACAAAUACGAUGUCAACUACAUGAUCAUGCAAAGCAAGAUGACAAUGAUGGAGCGUGUCAUAGUAAACGGAACAGUGGUAAGUUGCAUGGCAAUAUAUCUCGGAAUGGCUAUGGAAAUGCCAUGAUAGGUAGAUAUGGUGGCUGUUUUGAGGAAGGUAUAUGGUGGUUGUAUGAUACCGGCGAAAAGUGCGUGGUAUUAGAGAGGCUAGCAAUGGUGGAAGGAUGAGAGUGCGUAUAAUCCAUGGACUCAACAUUAGUCAUAAAGAACGCAUAUACUUGUUGCAAAAAUCUAUUAGUUAUCGAAACAAAGUAUUACGCGCAUGCUCCUAGGGGGAUAGAUUGGUAGGAAAAGACCAUCACUCGUCCCCUACCGCCACUCAUAAGGAAGACAAUCAAUAAAUAAAUCAUGUUCCGACUUCAUCACAUAACGGUUCACCAUACGUGCAUGCUACGGGAAUCACAAACUUUAACACAAGUAUUUCUCAAAUUCAUAACCACUCAACUAGCAUGACUCUAAUAUCACCAUCUUCAUAUCUCAAAACAAUUAUCAAGCAUCAAACUUCUCUUAGUAUUCAACGCACUUAUAAGAAAGUUUUUACUAAUCUUGGAUGCAUAUCAUAUUAGGACUAAUUUCACAACUUAAGCAAAUUACCAUGCUGUUUUGUAGGACUCUCAAAAUAAUAUAAGUGAAGCAUGAGAGAACAAUAGUUUCUAUAAAACAAAACCACCACCGUGCUCUAAAAGAUAUAACUGAAGCACUAGAGCAAAAACUAUAUUGCUCAAAAGAUAUAAGUGAAGCACAUAGAGUAUUCUAAUAAAUUCCGAUUCAUGUGUGUCUCUCCCAAAAGGUUUGUACAGCAAGGAUGAUUGUGGUAAACUAAAAGCAAAGACUCAAAUCAUACAAGACGCUCCAAGCUAAACACAUAUCAUGUGGUGAAUAAAAAUAUAGCUCCAAGUAAAGUUAUCGAUGGACGAAGACGAAAGAGGGGAUGCCUUCCGGGGCAUCCCCAAGCUUUGGAUUUUUGGUGUCCUUGGAUUUACCUUGGAGUGCCUUGGGCAUCCCCAAGCUUAGGCUCUUGACACUCCUUGUUCCAUAAUCCAUCAAAUCUUUACCCAAAACUUGAAAACUUCAAAACACAAAACUUAACAGAAAAUCUCGUGAGCUCCGUUAACGAAAGAAAACAAAAAACCACUUCAAGGUACUGUAAUGAACUCAUUCUUUAUUUGUACUGGUGUUAAACCUACUGUAUUCCAACUUCUCUAUGGUUUAUAAACUAUUUUACUAGCCAUAGAUUCAUCAAAAUGAGCAAACAACACACGAAAAACAGAAUCUGUCAAAAACAGAACAGUCUGUAGUAAUCUGUAACUAACGCAAACUUCUGGAACUCAAAAAAUUCUACCAAAAUAGGAAGACCUAGAUAAUUUGUUUAUUGAUCUACUUCAAUUGGAAUCAGUAUUUUAUCACGUUCUGGUGAUUUUAAACAAUUGUUUUUGUCAACAGAAAGUUUCUGGAAUUUUCAGCAAGAU
rnacentral:lncRNA from 1 species